rnacentral:sRNA from 1 species
CCCAGGGCUUACGCCCUGGGCUAAAUUCUAUCGCCCCCCCGGGGCU